UGUGUGUGUGUGUGUGUACACACACGAGAUACAGGCGGACAUGGAGGGAGAGAAAGGGAGGGGGAGUGCACAGAGCAGUAAGCCCGUGAGCAGGACAUGAUUGCAGUGUGUAUCUUAUCUGUGUCAGGUCCUCCUGAGGCUAGUGGAGCCUAGCUGAGCGGAGCAUGAGCGCUUCAGUGACCAGUCAACCGUGUGAAGGCAAUACGAAUCAAGCAACAUUCCAUGUUGAAGGUCAACGCUCCCACGUACAAACAGUGUGAAGGAGGAGGAGGUGAGAGGAAGAGAAAAAACGUGUUUGUGUCAAACAUUCUUUCACUGUGUUUUCCUGCUUGCCUUUAAAAUCUGUCCCCAUCAAUUAGUAUAGAUACUGGACUUUCAUUGAGAUUAAGUGACAAAUAUCAGUGCCUGCUCACAAGAAAGACACUUUUAACGUCUGCCCAACAAUCUGUUAAGUCAAAACACAUGCAGUGAUUCAAGGCUAGAAGCCUGCGAGGGGUCCUCCAUGCAAUGAAAAACAGGUGCUGUACUUUUGGGCCAUGUAAUACCCCAUUUAGCCUCUGGAGCAAAGGUUAUCCAGCUAAUAGCUGCCUUGUGGUGCACUGGGAGGAGCUGUGCACAUGGCCGGAGUAAACAUCUGGGACGGAUUGUAAAUACUUGCAACAUAUGCUUCAAGUUCAAUUAAAAUGAAGCCUUGGCAUAUUUAUUAAUCUUUUUCCCUCUCCUCUCGCUCUCUCUCCUUCUGGUUCUCUUUCACUCUCUCCAUUACAGGACUGUGUCAUAGAAGAGGCCUCCUUCGAUAGAUCUCCUUCAGACUUAAACAAUCUGAAGUCGUACCUCAUAUCCAAUGUAGAAUGACGCAUGUACAAAGUAGAAAACCAAAUUUGUUAAGUCUUGGAAGUGCAUUUGUUCUGUACUUGAACAGACAGCAAGAGGGGGAGACGGGCGGGAAAAGGAAUAAAAAAAAGAAAGGGGAAAGGACGAUUAAGGGAAGGGUAAAAGGAGAGUGGGAGGGCAAAGACACGUAGGCAAAGAAAAAAGAGAAAUGCCCCCCUUUCAACUUCCCUACAGCUCAAAUGAAAUGCUAACAGCUGAGGGGAGCAAUAGAUCAAAAUGUAUGAAGCCAGAGUUGUUAAAUUGUAGCCUUUGUGGCGGCUGUGCUAUCCAGCAUCCCAGCCCUGUGUGAGCACAGAGAGCAAGGCCCUCUUAUGUGGAAUAAUCAGUUUGGAACCAAAUCUGAAGCCGCAAAAGCUGCUGCUGCACCUCAUUUCAAUAUGAAAGUCCAAAAAUGUAUUUUGUAUAAUCUGUUGCUUUUCAAAUGCCUGCAUUUUUUUUCCCUGAGAGGAGGUGGAAAAUGCAAUGAUGGAGGGCAGACAUUAAGAAAGGGCCAAAAAAAAUAAAAAAAAUGGAAGGUUCAAGGUUGGUGCAUAUCUUCAGUCAGCGCCCCCCCCCCUUCUUGUACAUUUCAGCCUUGGAACUCCACAGCCAUGGAACUUUGGUUCUGCAUCACUGUGGGAGAGGAUGUAAUGCUCACGUGUCCUUGUGUGCUCAUCGCCCAACAGGCUGCCUGGCUGACCGACGGCAUGACUCACUAGUGGGCUGACUAUUUGACCAUCUGCACCAUAAAUGUGUUUUUUCUAACCCGUUUGUUGCUGGCCCUACAGAACAGGAGAAGCUUUAGCAAGGUUAGCAGAAGUAAAUUCCACAUGCAGACUUCUCCCCAGGCUAGAAUAUUUUUCACAUAUCAAAUUGUUGGUACAACGAUUCAAAGGCCUUCAAGAUUACUAUUGCACACAGCCGCAGUUUUCCCUGACAAAGAUCACCGGAACGGACCAUGCAAUUUACCACAUCUUAGCCUACUAACCUUUACACUGCAGACGUGUGGCUGUAAGGCAUCAAGUAUCAGCUCAAGUAAUUUAAGAUUCUAUACUGUGCUGCUUCAAGCUGCUUCACUCUCCUCACAGAGAUUUGUAAUGUCCUUUAAAGUUAACACCGCCUGGGUCUCAUUAGACUAGUGUGUCAAACAGCACAUUGUUUUGUGUGGCGCACACAAAACCAGACAACUCAGGGCUUGAAUAAAGAGCUGUACCAUUUCAAUUACCAUUCCCAAGUGGAACAUUGACAAGGGACCGCAUCCUAUCCAGUGGCAUUUGUUUCAGUAGCUGUUCCUACAGUGUAAACGAGCGGAGGCAGUAAAGCAGCCACCUGUUGUUACCUGAUCGUGUCUGGACAAGCCCAGAUGCUGUUUUACUGGCACAUAAAGGACCAGUGAGUGGACCUAAAUUGCUAACUAAGCACUUUAUGUGGUUGCAUGUUCACAGGAAGCUGGGCUGAAGCACAAGCCUAACUUCAAUUCAACAGUGUCGCGUGAAGCUUAAAAAUGAGGAUAUUGUGGCAAAACUGCAGUAGCAGAACAAAGCAAACCCCAAAGACGAAAGGAUGAGAAAUGUGUUGUGUAUAUAUCGACAGUGAAAACUUUUCAAGAAGUUAAAAGGUUGUACAAUCUUUGCACAUGUGUUUGUGCCUCAGGCAGAGAGAAUACCUGAACAGGGGAGGAGACGGGACGAGAAGAUGGAGUCAUUUCUUUCUUCCGUUUGUGUUUCCGGUGUAUGGAGCAGUGUCGACCUCUCCCGAGGCAGUGUGAGUGUACGUGCGUGUACGUGUGUACGUGUACGUGUGUGCGUGCGCACCCGCGAGUGAAUCCCAGACAAGACAUAAUUACCUUGUCAUCUCUGUCAAAUUCCUCGUCCUCGUCCUCCAGCAGGUCCUCCAUCGCUUGCUGACGGUUGCAACAGAGGAAAGAAAAACAGAAAGAAAGAAAGAAAGAAAAAAGAAAAAGAAUGUUUAUGCAACAGAUAAACAUCGGAUAGCACAGGGUUAAAAUCAUUAGAACAGCCGAGGAGGCAUUGUAAAGCUGAUUGGUUAUGCUUGUAACCAGGAGGUGGCAGGAGGUUUGUUAAUGUUUGAGUAUGGAAAACAUGCAGAGGGACACCUACUGGAUUGGUGUGCGUGUGUGUGCAAUUAUGUCACAAGCUUCAAGAAUGUUGACGACUUUAAAAUUAGAAACAUUCUGUUGUUGAAAUGUGUUGACACUUCUGUAAGUGCAAGCAAAUGUUCUGGCUAUGGGUUUCAACAGGCUGAGGAUUAAAAGCUAUUCAUCCACUGAAAUUGCAUUGCACAAAAGCAUUCAGACCUUAUUCCAUUCAGCAGGAUGAGACCAGGAACUCUUCUUCUGCAUGGUCUCAUCUGACCUCUUUAACCUUUGUACUCGUCUUCUAUCUAUCGUUUCACAUCCUUUCGCCGAAAGAUGCUCCAUGAGAAAGAAAAGAAGAAAGCCUGCAGCACACAAAGCGAGUCACAAAGAACAGCAACUACGUGCUUCAGUGGUCCACAACCGAUGAAACAGGAGCUGGUGGAGCUCUGAAGCCCCCAAAUGCCACGGUACACACUGCAGAACACUGCACUGCACUGCAUAUAACUGCAUUGUCUAUCCGGCACCACAAUUGCACAUUGCAAAGUUGAACCUUUUCCUGUUAGAUUAUGUCAUUUUCAGAUAAUUAUUUUGUUGUCUUUGAUGUUUACGCGGUUAAACUGACGCCAAAGAGGCAAAACCACGGCUGUGUCUCAUCUACCUUAUCUCUGCCAGUCACAUAUCAAAGCUACAAGGUCAUAAUGUCGCUCCGAAUUUCAAUAAACUAAACACCCGUAUCCUAAGCCCUACAGCCGUCAACCUCAGAAUCCAUCUAGUCUCGGUGCUGUGCUGCUUUACCAACCCCAACCCCCCCCCCCCCAAAAAAGAACGCUGCACGGCCUCAACAUCACCACAACCCCCUAACCACCUCCAGAACAACACAAACUGGCUUUGAGAAAUCCAAAAAUCAUUACUUAACAAGACAAUAGCUUUUGUCCUUUUUGUUUUUCAUCGGAAUAAGGGAGGGGGGGGGGCUAUGUGGCGGCCCACAUAAGCCUCUUAUGUAAAUGCAGCUUCCCACACAAACAAAGAGGAGUUCAGAACAGCGGAGUUGAGAGGGUAGAGUCAAUAGUGAGUGUGUGCGUGUUCUAUCAAUAGCUAGGAGUCUCCAGUGCAAAGGGUUGUGCGUCAAUAUGUGCGUGGCCACUCUAACCAUCAAAGUGUAGCACACUUGGUCAUUCACAGUUCACAGAGACUCCGUCAGUGUCUAGACAAAUAAGCUUGACUGUUGACAGCUCACAAUCUCUGUAUUAAUACAGAACACGUUCACUUUCACAGUAUACAAAAAACCGAGGGGGUUCUUUCCCUCAGCCGAGGCAAAAGAUGGAAAAGUGAUGCUGUGAAAUGAAAGCCUCCUGGCAACUCUCAACAGAUGAACUAUAACUGUUUAUAAAGUCAUCAUGGUUCCUUCUAAAUCCUUUCACCCGUGCCAAAAUACAAACAUAAUGGAUUCCUCCACACAGAGGUUUUACCAGGGCACGCCUGGCACACGCUCCAAACUUUAAACAAAGGGAAUGAGCAUGAGCUAGCUAGAGAAGCAUGACCUAGAGAGACAGAGAGAAUGAUAGUCGUUUGUCUCCCUCCGCUCUCUCUCUCCCUCCCUCCCUCUCGCUCUCUCUCUCUCCUCCAUCGCCCCCGGUUACAGAGAGAAGUCAUGUAUCCUGCAAUGAGACACAGUGUAAAAUUAAUAAAUAAAACGACACGGAACUUGUCAUCUGCCCUGAAGAUUGCCACGGCUAAAUGUGUGCACUGAAGCUACCGUCUCAGUAAGAGAGGAUAUAAAUUACCUCAGUGCAGCCGAUGAAUUCCAAACAUCUUUUUCUCCCUCUUUCUCUGCUUCCCUAUUUGUCUCAUUCUUUCGCUCUUUCCAAGACCUGUUUGGUGCAUGAUACCAUUUGUCUGCUUAUCCCUCUAUUAUCAUGUUGUUUGAAUUACUAUCAUUACAGCACGGCAGCAUCAAAGCCUUCCUGUCGACAGGAUCGCGUGGAGCCGACGUUGCCUGCAGAGCUGCUCCAGUCAAUUCAAUACCUACUGAGGCCGAGUUCCACCUUCUCCCCUCCUAACCUUCCCAAUGACAGCCGCAGAGGGAAUUGACGCCGUGCCAGACAUCUCAGCGAACAUGAAGAUAUAUUUUCUCCUCCUAUUUUUUUUCCUCCCAAUCCACCAUUUCUUCCUCCUUCCACCCUCCUGCUGCUCUUCCUCUUUGAUACGUGAGGGGGUUUUAACCUCUCCAGCUGCUGAGGUUUAGCCGACUGGCUGGCUGGGGGAUCUCAAGGCCCUACUUGGUAUGCACUGUCUAUGAGUGAGUGUGUGCGUGUGUGUGUGUAUGUGUGUGCGCAUAUUGCCUACACCACAGUUUCCGCAGACUGGGGGAGGGCUGCGCGUCUGAUAAGGGCUGCUGGCUGGGUCUGGCUGACCCACGCGAGCCCUUCACAAGCUGUCAGAGCCGUGGCCCUCAGAGGGGGGCCCUUCCAUCUGCACCGCCCCAGCCAGGGCUCACCCAGCAGGGGGCCAGAGAGGGGUGAGGUUGGGGUGCUACCGGAGCUGGAGGCCGGGGGGUGGGCGGGAGAAGGCCGGCUCCAUAUUUAUGAAAGCAACCGCAAAGUGGUGAGCGAUGUAGAAGACGGUUUGGGGAUAGUAACACGGUGCCAAUGACUCAUUGCUUGUUGCUGACCAAAUCAGCAAACGUGUUCGGUCAGGCAUUCAGCAGCUAUUUAGAGGAAAGCACAACUUUACGUUAUCCACAAGCGUCGUUGAGACAGUUAAAACAGUAAUGAUAUGUUGGUCCUGACCAGAUGGAUGGUGACUUUUUUGUCUUAUUGUUUCUUAAACUCACUUGUGGAAAACAGGGCAAGAGCUGGUACACACCUGCCAUGCAAUCUAUUCCACACAAACGUACUCACAUUUGUAGGCUUAAGCUGAAUGCUUAAACUAAAAAACAGCUAGAGCGCGUAUACUGUACAGACAAAACAACAAGAUAGACACCCUGAGCUGCCGACGUUGUUAGCAAAGAGCACAGGCAGUUACAAAAGGUUCAGCGUGAUGAAGCGAGUCAGACAAACGGAGGGAAAGGAAGAGAAAGAGAGACAACGUGAUGAAAAGGGAGGCAGGGAGGAUUCUGCAGUGGCAUCCCUGAUGCUCUCGAUGCUCCCGUCCCGCUUCAAACUAUGCCCGUCUCCAGUCUUCUUGCCUGCCAGCCUGCCAUCCUAUCUGCCAGUUUAGCGGAGACAGAGCAGCAGCAAGAGGAGCGGAGACGAGCGCGGUGAUGCCGGGGCGGCACGGGGGAAAUCAGUGGGGCACAGGCGCUCCCAGUUAAAAGUGACAUGACCUUUUGAUUUUGUCACCUGUCACCAACUGCCAUGUCUGCCUCGGCACUGAGGAGUGCCUGCCAUCCGCCGCUGUUUUCCUCUGCCUCCGUCUCUGUGAAUGCCUCUCUGUCUUUUUCUGUCUCCUGCUCCCACUCCAUCUCCUUUUCAUUGCAGAGUUGUGGUUUUAUAGGGAAAAAAGUGGAGGUGUUACUUUUUGGAGGAGUUGAGGUAUAAUAGGCAGUGUUUCCUCUUUUCUUUCCAGCUUUCCUAAUAUCAACUUUUCUCUACCUGCGUUGUGUGUGGCUCUUAAUGAGGGCAGAUGUCACGGCACAGAAGCAGAAAAGUUUCUUUUUUUUUGUAGAUGCAAAAUCAUCAAAAUAGAGGAGAUGAAAAUGGUACCAUCGUGUUACAAUAAAAUCAGACGUUAUUAUUCUCAGAAACAAACAAGAUUCAUUUGUCUUUUUUUAUAA